UACGGAGGGUGCAAGCGUUAUCCGGAUUCACUGGGUUUAAAGGGUGCGUAGGAGGGCAGGUAAGUCAGUGGUGAAAUCCCCGAGCUUAACUUGGGAACUGCCGUUGAUACUAUCUGUCUUGAAUAUUGUGGAGGUGAGCGGAAUAUGUCUGUAGCGGUGAAAUGCUUAGAUAUGACAUAGAACACCAAUUGCGAAGGCAGCUCGCUACACAUAUAUUGACUCUGAGGCACGAAAGCGUGGGGAUCAAACAGG
rnacentral:rRNA from 1 species